rnacentral:RNase_P_RNA from 1 species
UUAGUAUGUCAGAUGAUUGCAUUCAUUUGAAUGAGGAAAGUCCGGGCUCCAUAGAGCAGGAAUCUGGUUAACGGCCAGUGGGGGUAACCUUAAGGCAAGUGCAAAAGAAAGUAUACCGCCAAUUUUUAUUGGUAAGGGUGGAACGGCGAGGUAAGAGCUCACCAGCUCAUAGGUGACUAUGAGGCUAUGUAAACCCAUUCCGGAGCAAGACCAAAACGGAUCAAAAGAAAAUUGCUCGUUUUCUCCUAAUGGUAGGUCGCUUGAGGGUAUUGGUAACAAUACUCCUAGAUAGAUAAUCGUCUAAUACAGAACUCGGCUUAUAGACAUGCUAAAUCA